UACCCGCAGCACAAGUGGUGGUCAUUAUUAUGGGGCCUAAAGCGUCCGUAGCUGGCUUGUUAGAUGCCUGGGUAAAUCGAUGCGCUCAACGUAUCGAACACCGGGUAGACCGGCAAGCUUGGGACCGGGAGAGGCGUGAGCUACUCGAGGGGUAGGGGUAAAAUCCUGUAAUCCUUCAGGGAGGACCAGUGGCGAAGGCGUCACGCUAGAACGGCUCCGACAGUGAGGGACGAAGCCCUGGGGCGCAAACCGG
rnacentral:rRNA from 1 species